rnacentral:lncRNA from 1 species
CUGUAAGUGAUGGCCACUGCGGCCCCUGUGGACUGGCCCCUGUGAAGAUGCCAGCUGCAGUUGGGGAGGUAUGGCUGGGGCUGCACACUCCAUGGAGCUGACCGGAGCUGGGAACAUGCAGCAGCUGGGAACAGAUGUUUCCUCCUGAGAGACUUGAAGGACCUAUGAGCAUCCACCUACUCUUCCCAAAGAUCAACUAGAGGGGAAAAGUAUAGAAAUAAUUGACUGCAAUCCAAGAUCCUGAGGGAGAUCGAAGAGCUUAAAGACCCAGGAAGAAGAUUAAGUAAAUUAACAAGAAAAGACUCCUCAAUACACACCUAAGGUGGAUUUUGU